UGGUGGAGUGAUUUGUCUGGUUAAUUCCGUUAACGAACGAGACCUCGACCUGCUAAAUAGUUCGGCAAAUUCUUCGGGAUUUGCAUAAGUGACUUCUUAGAGGGACUAUCGGUGUGUAGCCGAUGGAAGUUCGAGGCAAUAACA
rnacentral:rRNA from 1 species